GAUGAACGCUAGCUACAGGCUUAACACAUGCAAGUCGAGGGGUAACGAGAGGGAAGCUUGCUUUCCUUGUCGACGACCGGCGCACGGGUGAGUAACGCGUAUCCAACCUGCCCCCAACUAGGGAAUAACCUUGCGAAAGUAAGACUAAUACCCUAUAAUUUCCUCAGAUGCCAUCUGACGAGGAAUAAAGAUUUAUCGGUUGUGGAUGGGGAUGCGUCUGAUUAGCUUGUUGGCGGGGUAACGGCCCACCAAGGCAACGAUCAGUAGGGGUUCUGAGAGGAAGGUCCCCCACAUUGGGACUGAGACACGGUCCAAACUCCUACGGGAGGCAGCAGUGAGGAAUAUUGGUCAAUGGGCGGAAGCCUGAACCAGCCAAGUAGCGUGCAGGAUGACGGCCCUAUGGGUUGUAAACUGCUUUUAUACAGGAAUAAAGUUAGCCACGUGUGGUUAUUUGUAGGUACUGUAUGAAUAAGGACCGGCUAAUUCCGUGCCAGCAGCCGCCGUAACAC
rnacentral:rRNA from 1 species